CUACGGGAGGCAGCAGUGGGGAAUAUUGCACAAUGGGGGCAACUCUGAUCCAGCCAUGCCGCGUGAGUGAAGAAGGCCCUAGGGUUGUAAAGCUCUUUCAUCGGUGAAGAUAAUGACGGUACCCGAAGAAGAAGCCCCGGCUAACUUCGUGCCAGCAGCCGCGGUAA
rnacentral:rRNA from 1 species